AACGCACAUUGCGCCCCUUGGUAUUCCGGGGGGCAUGCCUGUUCGAGCGUCAUUACAACCCUCAAGCCUGGCUUGGUCUUGGGCUUCGCCACUAACCUGGCGGGCCUUAAAAUCAGUGGCGGUGCCUCCGAGGCCCUGAGCGCAGUAAAUAUCCUCGCUAUAGGGACCCGGUGGUUACUGGCCAGCAACCCCAACUUUCUAAGUUUGACCUCGGAUCAGGUAGGGAUACCCGCUGAACUUAA
rnacentral:misc_RNA from 1 species